rnacentral:rRNA from 1 species
UACGAAGGGGGCUAGCGUUGCUCGGAAUUACUGGGCGUAAAGGGAGCGUAGGCGGACAGUUAAGUCAGUGGUGAAAGCCCAGAGCUCAACUCUGGAAUUGCCUUUGAUACUGAUUGUCUUGAGUAUGGGAGAGGUGUGCGGAACUCCGAGUGUAGAGGUGAAAUUCGUAGAUAUUCGGAAGAACACCAGUGGCGAAGGCGGCACACUGGCCCAUUACUGACGCUGAGGUGCGAAAGCGUGGGGAGCAAACAGG